rnacentral:rRNA from 1 species
UACGUAGGGGGCGAGCGUUGUCCGGAAUUAUUGGGCGUAAAGAGCGUGUAGGCGGCCAGAUAGGUCCGUUGUGAAAACUGGAGGCUUAACCUCCAGCGGUCGAUGGAAACCAUUUGGCUAGAGUCCGGAAGAGGAGAGUGGAAUUCCUGGUGUAGCGGUGAAAUGCGCAGAUAUCAGGAAGAACACCCGUGGCGAAGGCGGCUCUCUGGGACGGUACUGACGCUGAGACGCGAAAGCGUGGGGAGCGAACAGG